ensembl:snoRNA
CAGAUACAGUGAUGACUGCAUAGUUCAGCAGAAUAUCCUGUGUUGAACACUGCGCCCCUAUCUGAUGUAUCUG